AUUGAACGCUGGCGGAAUGCUUUACACAUGCAAGUCGAACGGUAGAGGGGGCAACCCCUCGAGAGUGGCGAACGGGUGAGUAAUAUAUCGGAACGUGCCCAGUCGUGGGGGAUAACGUAGCGAAAGUUACGCUAAUACCGCAUACGAUCUAAGGAUGAAAGCGGGGGAUUGCAAGACCUCGCGCGAUUGGAGCGGCCGAUAUCAGAUUAGGUAGUUGGUGGGGUAAAGGCCCACCAAGCCAACGAUCUGUAGCUGGUCUGAGAGGACGACCAGCCACACUGGAACUGAGACACGGUCCAGACUCAUACGGGAGGCAGCAGUGGGGAAUUUUGGACAAUGGGCGAAAGCCUGAUCCAGCAAUGCCGCGUGUGUGAAGAAGGCCUUCGGGUUGUAAAGCACUUUUGUCCGGAAAGAAAUGGCUCUGGUUAAUACCUGGGGUCGAUGACGGUACCGGAAGAAUAAGGACCGGCUAACUACGUGCCAGCCGCCGCAGUAA
rnacentral:rRNA from 1 species